rnacentral:siRNA from 1 species
UCUAUCGCCUUUGAUGUAUCCGUC